UACGUAGAGUGCAAGCGUUGUCCGGAAUUAUUGGGCGUAAAGGGUAACGCAGGCGGAUAGUUAAAGUCAAGCGUGAAAGGUGUACGGCUUAACCGGACAGACUGCGUUUGAAACUGAAUUAUCUUAGAGUGUAACAGAGGAGAGUGGAAUUCCUAGUGUAGUGGUGAAAUACGUAGAUAUUAGGAAGAACACCAGUGGCGGAAGGCGACUCUCUGGGUUAACACUGACGCUGAGGUAACGAAAGCUAGGGGGAGCGAAACGGGAUUAAGAUACCCCGGUAGU
rnacentral:rRNA from 1 species